rnacentral:rRNA from 1 species
AUCUAAACGACUCUCGGCAACGGAUAUCUCGGCUCUCGCAUCGAUGAAGAACGUAGCGAAAUGCGAUACUUGGUGUGAAUUGCAGAAUCCCGUGAACCAUCGAGUCUUUGAACGCAAGUUGCGCCCGAAGCCUUGGCCGAGGGCACGCCUGCCUGGG